rnacentral:rRNA from 1 species
AUUGAACGCUGGCGGCAGGCCUAACACAUGCAAGUCGAACGAGUGGUGGACGGGUGAGUAAUGUCGGGGAAACUGCCUGAGGGAGGGGGAUAACUACUGGAAAGGGUAGCUAACACCGAAUACCAUGAGAUGUGCCGAGAGGGGAUGAGCUAGUUGGUGGGGUAAGUGUUCACCAAGGAUACGAGCCCUAGCUGGUUUGAGGGGAUGACCAGCCACACUGGAACGAAGACACGGUCCAGACUCCUACGUGAGGCAGCGGUGGGGAAUAUUGCGCAAUGGGCGCAAGCCUGAUGCAGCCAGGCCGCGUGUAUGACGAGGGCCUUCGGGUUGUAAAGUUCUUUCAGCGGGGAGGCGUUACCCGCAGAAGAAGCACCGGCUAACUCCGUGCCAGCAGCCGCGGUAAUAC